GAAAUGCGAUAAUUAAUGUGAAUUGCAGAAUUCAGUGAAUCAUCGAGUCUUUGAACGCACAUUGCGCCCCCUGGUAUUCCGGGGGGCAUGCCUGUCCGAGCGUCAUUGCUGCCCUCAAGCACGGCUUGUGUGUUGGGCUUCCGUCCCUGGCAACGGGGACGGGCCCAAAAGGCAGUGGCGGCACCAUGUCUGGUCCUCGAGCGUAUGGGGCUUUGUCACCCGCUCCCGUAGGUCCAGUUGGCAGCUAGCCUCGCAACCAAUCUUUUUAACCAGGUUGACCUCGGAUCAGGUAGGGAUACCCGCUGAACUUAAGC
rnacentral:misc_RNA from 1 species